rnacentral:rRNA from 1 species
UACGUAGGGUGCGAGCGUUAAUCGGAAUUACUGGGCGUAAAGCGUGCGCAGGCGGUUUUGUAAGACAGGUGUGAAAUCCCCGGGCUUAACCUGGGAAUUGCGUUGGAGACUGCAAGGCUUGAAUCUGGCAGAGGGGGGUAGAAUUCCACGUGUAGCAGUGAAAUGCGUAGAGAUGUGGAGGAACACCGAUGGCGAAGGCAGCCCCCUGGGUCAAGAUUGACGCUCAUGCACGAAAGCGUGGGGAGCAAACAGG